UCCCUGGUGGCUCAGAGGGUAAAGCGUCUGCCUGCAAUGCAGGAGACCCGGGUUCGAUCCCUGGGUCGGGAA
rnacentral:tRNA from 1 species